rnacentral:rRNA from 1 species
GACGAACGCUGGCGGCGUGCCUAAUACAUGCAAGUUGAGCGCUGAAGGUUGGUACUUGUACCAACUGGAUGAGCAGCGAACGGGUGAGUAACGCGUGGGGAAUCUGCCUUUGAGCGGGGGACAACAUUUGGAAACGAAUGCUAAUACCGCAUAAAAACUUUAAACACAAGUUUUAAGUUUGAAAGAUGCAAUUGCAUCACUCAAAGAUGAUCCCGCGUUGUAUUAGCUAGUUGGUGAGGUAAAGGCUCACCAAGGCGAUGAUACAUAGCCGGCCUGAGAGGGUGAUCGGCCACAUUGGGACUGAGACACGGCCCAAACUCCUACGGGAGGCAGCAGUAGGGAAUCUUCGGCAAUAGACGAAAGUCUGACCGAGCAACGCCGCGUGAGUGAAGAAGGUUUUCGGAUCGUAAAACUCUGUUGGUAGAGAAGAACGUUGGUGAGAGUGGAAAGCUCAUCAAGUGACGGUAACUACCCAGAAAGGGACGGCUAACUACGUG